rnacentral:rRNA from 1 species
UGAAUGGACGAAGUCUGACGGAGCAACGCCGCGUGAGUGAAGAAGGUUUUCGGAUCGUAAAACUCUGUUGUUAGGGAAGAACAAGUCAGGUAGUAACUGACCUGACCUUGACGGUACCUAACCAGAAAGCCACGGCUAACUACGUGCCAGCAGCCGCGGUAAUACGUAGGUGGCAAGCGUUGUCCGGAUUUAUUGGGCGUAAAGCGCUCGCAGGCGGUCUUUUAAGUCUGAUGUGAAAGCCCACGGCUUAACCGUGGAGGGUCAUUGGAAACUGGAGGACUUGAGUGCAGAAGAGGAGAGUGGAAUUCCAUGUGUAGCGGUGAAAUGCGUAGAGAUAUGGAGGAACACCAGUGGCGAAGGCGACUCUCUGGUCUGUAACUGACGCUGAGGAGCGAAAGCGUGGGUAGCGAACAGGAUUAGAUACCCUGGUAGUCCACGCCGUAAACGAUGAGUGCUAGGUGUUAGGGGGUUUCCGCCCCUUAGUGCUGAAGUUAACGCAUUAAGCACUCCGCCUGGGGAGUACGGCCGCAAGGCUGAAACUCAAAGAAAUUUGACGGA